rnacentral:rRNA from 1 species
CACGCCGUAAACGAUGGAUACUAGCUGUUCGGAGCAAUCUGAGUGGCUAAGCGAAAGUGAUAAGUAUCCCACCUGGGGAGUACGCACGCAAGUGUGAAACUCAAAGGAAUAGACGGGGACCCGCACAAGCGGUGGAGCAUGUGGUUUAAUUCGACGAUACACGAAGAACCUUACCUGGACUUGACAUAGUAAGAACUUUCUAGAGAUAGAUUGGUGUCUGCUUGCAGAAACUUAUAUACAGGUGC